UACGGAGGGUGCGAGCGUUGUCCGGAAUCAUUGGGCGUAAAGGGCGCGUAGGUGGCCCGGUCAGUCUUUGGUGAAAGCGCGGGGCUCAACCCUGCGUCGGCCAGGGAUACUGCCGCGGCUCGAGCACUGUAGAGGCAGGCGGAAUUCCGGGUGUAGCGGUGGAAUGCGUAGAGAUCCGGAAGAACACCGGUGGCGAAGGCGGCCAGCUGGGCCGGGUCCGACACUGAGGCGCGAAAGCGUGGGGAGCAAACAGG
rnacentral:rRNA from 1 species